AUUGAACGCUGGCGGCAGGCUUAACACAUGCAAGUCGAGCGGAGAUGAGGUGCUUGCACCUUAUCUUAGCGGCGGACGGGUGAGUAAUGCUUAGGAAUCUGCCUAUUAGUGGGGGACAACAUUCCGAAAGGAAUGCUAAUACCGCAUACGUCCUACGGGAGAAAGCAGGGGAUCUUCGGACCUUGCGCUAAUAGAUGAGCCUAAGUCGGAUUAGCUAGUUGGUGGGGUAAAGGCCUACCAAGGCGACGAUCUGUAGCGGGUCUGAGAGGAUGAUCCGCCACACUGGGACUGAGACACGGCCCAGACUCCUACGGGAGGCAGCAGUGGGGAAUAUUGGACAAUGGGGGGAACCCUGAUCCAGCCAUGCUGCGUGUGUGAAGAAGGCUUUUUGGUUGUAAAGCACUUUAAGCGAGGAGGAGGCUACUAGUACUAAUACUACUGGAUAGUGGACGUUACUCGCAGAAUAAGCACCGGCUAACUCUGUGCCAGCCGCCGCUGUAACAC
rnacentral:rRNA from 1 species